rnacentral:rRNA from 1 species
GACGAACGCUGGCGGCGUGCUUAACACAUGCAAGUCGAACGAAGUGGCGAACGGGUGAGUAACGCGUAAUCAACCUGCCCUUCAGAGGGGGACAACAGGUGGAAACGACUGCUAAUACCGCAUACUGAAGGAGGGGAUUGCGUCUGAUUAGCUGGUUGGAGGGGUAACGGCCCACCAAGGCGAUGAUCAGUAGGCGGUCUGGGAGGAUGAACGGCCAAAUUGGGACGUAGACACGGCCCAGACUCCUACGGGGAGCAGCAGGGGGGAAUCUUCCGCAAUGGACGAAAGUCUGACGGAGCAACGCCGCGUGAGUGAUGACGGCCUUCGGGUUGUAAAGCUCUGUUAGUCGGGACGCGGUACCGGAAUAGAAAGCCACGGCUAACUACGUGCCAGCAGCCGCGGUAAUUC